UAGUCAGAACAUGGAUUGACGUUGGACAAGCUGAUUGUGGCAUGCGCUGUCCUGAUCUGUUCUCCGCUUUGUCUGAAAUCCUGGAGAGGCUUUGCUGAAACUCUGCAUGUGUGGCUGAGCUGUCUGUUGAUUACUUUGUAUCUUGAUUUUUAUCAGUGAGGUUUAAAUUGAUGGUACUAUUUAUUCAUGUAAUGUACUGUCUGACCUAGUGCUAUUUAGUCCCUGAUUAUGUCUGGUUUGCAUGGUUAAAUGCAUCUAAACUAGUUGCACCGGGCAUAUAUGACAGCCAUUGUCACAAGAAAUGGCUUGAUCUGUUGGUGCCCAAAUUUACCCUACCAAUAGUGCUAUAAUACUUUGGCUUUCGCUUUGCUUGUUUGCCAAAAUCUUGGUUGCCUAUGUAAUCUUGCUGGCGCCUCACAAUCCCUGCACAGAUCUUGCCAUUUUAUUACUGAAAAAGACUUUUGCCUUGAAAGUGACACUAAAGGAACGUAAAUGGGGUGAACAUUGCCACCGUGAAGAAGUGAAGCUGCAUAUGAUGCCUUUAAGAAGGGGAUGACACCGGAGCGCUGCCAUUGCUUGAUCUGAGGAUUAGAGUUUCCUUGGAGCAACAUGACGGGCAAUGAAAGCUGUGAUGAUGCUUUCAAAAAGGGAACAAGCUUCGCAGCCGCUGGUCCGUCUGAAGAUAAAGUAGGUUUUCACCUUGGCCAUCACUCACCGCCAUCGAACGCCACAUCCCGACUACCAUGUCGCCCACACGGCCGUUGCAAUCAAACCGCGGGCACAUCCCGGCUACCAAACCGCGGGCUCUGCCCAUGAGCACCGCGGAACCACCACUAGGACCCGCCUUUUCGCACCCGGGCGGCCCCCAGUGCUGAGACCCAAUAGGUUGGCCAAAACAUGCCUCCAUUGACCCGUCCUGCGGCACCCGGUGCGAGAGGAGCGAUGGACCAUAGCCGGGAGAUGGCCGACCCUUCGACGAAAGUGUAGCGCCCAGGCGACGAGGAAAGGAGUUGAAGACCGACACAGACCGCCUACAGACGAGCCAACGCCGGAAAAGCCAACCGCCGCCGCAACCGAUCUGCCACCACCACAGCACCAACGCCUCCACGCCCUGGCCAGAUCCGCCCGGAGCCCCGCCACUUCGCACCAGAGCAGCGAGAACGCCAGCCGCAUCACCACCACCACAUCACGGCCGCCGACCACCCCUGCCAUCGGCUACCAUCACCAUCCACCGGAUCAAUCCGUUGCCCCCGCCAACCACCACCAUCCAGAACAGAGCAGGAGGCCAGAUCCGCCGCUAGUCGACCCCUGGAUACCGAAGCCCCCGAGACGUGCUGGAGGGAGGGGAGGAGGCGGCGCUGGCGGCCACAGGACGCCGGUAGGAGGGAGAGGGCCGAAGCAGGGCCGACCCGACGCCCGACGCCACCAAGCAGGGAGAGGCGCCCCGCGAUGCCACCAGCUGCGCACGGGAGGGAGCCGCCCCACCGCCGCCAACGCCAUGCGGCCUUAGGCCGGCGACGCCCCUGGCGGCGGCGAGGGAGGGGGGCAGGGAGGCGACACUAGGGUUUCCUCCUGGGGGCGCCUCGGGGAGGGAGGGAGAAGCGUUUUCUUCCUCGUCAUUUUUGUUUCUGGUUCUUCCCUUUCAACAAGCCUUCUUGCCAUUUUAUUUCCUCUAGCCAAUUUUGUUUGGCUGGUUAAUGGUUGAUGAAAAUUGGUAGGGCAUGAGUCAAAGGCCAACAUCUUACUGUUUCCUCCUGGUUGCCACAGAGCAUGCUCACAAACGCUGAUAGUUUCUUAAGUAUGAGUUCACAAAUCGCAACAGUCAUAUAUUAUCAGAAGGAGAUGUAUUUCUCAAAUAAUAAAACAACACAAUAGGAGAAUCCUACAGAACUUAAAUGCAACCAUCAUUAUACCCCAAAAUUACAAAUCACUGUUUUCUGCAGCGAUAACAAUCUGAAGAGGCACCAUUUCUGUAUAUUCAAAAACAAUUUUACAGAAAUGGGGAAAAGCCGAGCCUUCGUUUCCAACAAUGGUAGACAUCUAAGUGAGAACUGCAAGCACAUUUACUAAUCUAAGAGGCAAAUAUGGUUCUGGGUCUCACCAUGAAAUAUGUGUGUUUGAUAGCGAUUUCAGUUAGAUUAUUGUGGCAGUGGGGCAUUUGCAGCUAAAUGUUCUAACCGCUGUGGUGGGAGCGGCGGCGGCCACUGUCGAUCCUGAGGUUGCUGUGCCUGCUGCGGUGGUGGCCACUGUGGAUCCUGAGGUCGCUGUGCCUGCUGCGGAACAUCGCCGUGCCAUGACCAAACAAUGUCCUUGAGUGAUGGCCUAAUGUCUUCUUUCAACAGUUUCUGGUACUCCAUGGUGUCACCAUUGGUCUUCUUCAACUCGACUAAGAGAAAAGACGACGCGAGCUCAUAGAUUUCUGCAUCAAACUCAAGAGUACCCUUCUUUCCUUCCCUCGGCGCGGCCAAUUUCAUCGCUCCAUUGUCUUUCUUUAUAACUUUAAGCUUGAUGCGUUGGGCAAGUUCCUCCAGCUUCACAAAUACAGCUGCUGGCGGCUCUUUGGAAGCAAACCGGGCCUCCCUUUGGCUAUAUCUUUCAUCGAACAAACCAGAUAGAUCGAACCCAGGAGUGAGGGAAAUGAUAUUAAAUGCAUUCAUGCUCGCCGGUCCGUCGGAACUGUUGCGACAUGCAAGGCCAGACGCAGCAGCUUCGCUCGCAUAGGUCUUGUCUUUUCUCAGUGGUGUUCUCUCAACCGGCUUCCUAUACCAUGGGCUUCUCUUUAUCCUUGCGAUGGACAUUCUAGUAUUAGGAUCUGGAUCAAGGAUCCCAUUAAGGAGCUCUUUCAGCUCAGUGGAAAAAUAGCGAGGGCAUCUGUACUCAGCCUUGGCAAUCUUUCUAUACAACUCCAUAAGGUUUCUUUCAUGGAAAGGAAGAUAACCGGCAACAAGAACAAACAGAAUCACUCCACAAGACCAUACAUCUGCCCUUGCACCGUUGUAGCCUUUCCUGCUGAGCACUUCCGGAGCAACAUAAGCCGGAGUUCCACAUGCGGUGUGGAGCAGACCAUCUCGCCACUUUGACUUGGUUAGCGCACUUAAACCAAAAUCAGAGACCCUAAGGGUCCCAUACUCAUCCACUAGCAGGUUUUCAGGCUUCAAGUCACGAUGAUAAACACCUCUACUGUGGCAAAAAUCUAUAGCAGAGAUCAACUGGUGAAAAUAUUUCCUUGCCCCAUCCUCACUAAGCUUCCCCUUGGCUAAUUUGUUGAAAAGCUCACCGCCUUUAGCAUACUCCAGAAUGAAAUAAAUCUUGCUCCUGGUAGCCAUUACCUCAAAAAGCUGCAGAACAUUCGGAUGCCUCACGAUCCUCAUUAUCGAGAUCUCCCUCUUUAUCUGAUCCACGAGACCAACCUUCAAGAUCUUGUCCUUAUCGAUCAUUUUUAUGGCAACAGGCUGACCAUUUGCUAGAUUGCGAGCAUAGUAUACCUUUGCAAAGGUGCCUUGUCCCAAUUGCCUCCCGAUUUCAUAACGCUGGGUCAAAACAGUCCUCUCUUCCAUUAUAUAAGCACAAAGCCUGAAUUUUUAUGAUGGUCUAUCCACAGAUUGGUUCAGACUCGGAGAUGAAUGUUAGAGAAGACAGAGUCCCUCUCUCCAUCACGCUUCGGAAAUCGGAACACGGAGGAGUGGAAUGAAACCAGUCUGCAAUCCACCACUCAUCAGAACCGAGCAAAUGAACCUGGGACGACGCAGUGGUGACUUUGUCGCUAGACAAUUGCCUCUUCCAGCACGAGCACAAGUGAAUCACCUUCAGCCGUCACCAGCCUGACAAAAUCUACCUGCAAAACAGAAUAAACUAGAUCAGAACACAUGUGCAAGUGUAUAACACACACAUGACAAAUCUUCGGGGAAUGAGGGUACUCCCUCCCAUCCAGAUUAAUUUGUACUAAAUCAGCGACAAUUAAUAUGGACAGGAGGGAGUAGUAUUUUUACACCCGCCAUUAUAAUUUGUGAAUCGAACAUCCAACCCACUUUUCCAUAAGAAGAACGCAGAGAUAUAUUAUCUCGGGAUCCCACAUGCUUACCAGGGCAAACUCUGAGAUCUGAAAUGGUAAAAUUGGGACAUUAAACAGCAUGGCCAAAGCUCGCACGAAACUGGGUGUCCUCUGCAAGAUUUACGACAAGUGUAACUACAACAUUGUGCAAUCGGGUCGCGGAACAGGAGCGUUAAGCUCCCAGAAUUGAGGCGACAAAAUAGAGAAAGAAAAAUGCUCGCAGAUUCCAAUCAGAUCGAGCGAAACCAAGAACCGGAUCACAGUUCAGGGGCCAGGCUAUUAACCUCACCUGAUCUGAAGACGAACGGAAUUCCCAAGUCCCACAAACGGAUGGAUUCGAUUGGAUUAUACCGCGAGGCAGACGGAGGGUGGCACCUUCGGGACAUUCGUGAUUCCUAUUGCGGCAUUGCACGGCGGCUCGCUGGCGGCGAGGAGGCUGGCUCGGCUUCUCCGGCUCCCUUCCUUCCUCCUACGUGUGGUGGAGCGGUCGACACGCUGCGUUAGGCUGGUGGUGGGUGGCGAUGUGGGGACCCAAGUUAUUUUUUCCUGUUUUUGCCCUCGGUUCUUGCGAGUUUCUGUGGGACGGACGGUUAGCGGGCUCACCUGCACUGCCCAAACUUGCGAUAACAUUAUCUUUCUUUUUAGGGAGACUCAAAAAAAAA
rnacentral:lncRNA from 1 species